AACUUCGGUGUCUUGUUUUUGUUCUCGAGACCUUUGGUGUUUUUUUUUCUAACACCAAGGACCUUUGGUGUCUCUUUGAAAGUUGAAAGCUGCAAAAUAUCAGAACAUUCUCUCUCUAUUACCACUGAAUGUUCUGGAUUCAAACUCAUGGAUCUGUAAAACUCGACUCCGUUCGUCAAGAUCAGACAACUCCUCCGUUGAUUCUGAUGGUCGAUCUAAGCAAAGCUGUUCUUCAUAGAGCUAUUUCUUCUGUGUAAAGUAAAUUUCAGCGAAUACAACUUUAAUCUACUUAAGCAACAAAACAUCAUUUGAUGUUCUCUGUCUCCAUCGAUAAGCACUGUGUUUGGAAAGAAACUCGAUUUGUGUCUCUGAAAAGCCUCAACUCUGAUAUCUUUGUUGGAAGUAAUGAAAACGAAUGAAAGAGCCUUUUAGAUAAGUCAUUUAUCAGUUACAAUAAUAUAACUGAGUAGCAUCUGUUGUAUUUGUUCUUCAGGACGUAAAUCUAAAAAUUUUAUUUGUUUGUCAGGAAGGAGCAACUGGAACUAAAUUAAAGACAACUGGAACUAAAUUAGUUUUAUAUAAUUAUAAAUAAAACUAUAUUUCAUCUAUACUACUAAAAACAGUAUUUAACGUGCUUACUCAUGCAGUUGGACUUUGUAUAUUUGGGAAUUGAGUGUAGGACCUUCACAUGAACACACCAAGUAUUCUUCCAGGACCCCUCAAAUCGUUAAUGCUUGUCACUUUACUUUCUCAUUAGAAGCUUUCGAUUUUGGAUUUGCAUAUUAGAACCCAUAGGUUUCUUUGACGGUAGUGGUUUCAAUAGGAAGAGAGUCUUGGAUAUUUAUAGAGGUUAAAGGGAGAGAUGCUUAGGGAUUAUUAUGAAACCUUGGGGCGUACUCCAAAUCGUAUCCCACCAGAUUUGCUAAACUAUAAAAUCGAUAUAAUUUAUUGUUAGUAUUGUUGCCAUUUUGAAAGCUCCAUAAUAUUCGGUGGGUGUUGCUCACGUUAAGUUUAUUACUUGAA